AUUUCAAUUCCAACGAAUCACCUUCCUCAACCUGUAAUUUGUUUUGGCCACGUCCUAAGACUUUCUUAGAGUUAUGCUUGAUCACUAUUCGAAGAGUAUUAUCACAUUAAACCUCCUAAAUCGUGAGCAAUUAGAACCUCAAAAUUUCUUUCGAGCAUUUUGGACGAAAAGAAGGAACACAGAUUUUACAGAGUUCGAAUCCAGCGUGCACCCUCCAAUGGGAGGCGUGCAUGUCGCCCUUUUCAAAUCUAACAGUUCCGUUGAUGUUAAGUUCGAUUCACGCUCCCGUUAAGUGAAUCAGUCCGGUUCAGUGUUGGGAAGAGAUAAAACCACCAAUUAAAAGCCUUUUUUUCCUCUCAUUCGUUUGAAUUCCCCUUCCCCCAUUUUCAUUUUCACCAAGUCCUAGCCCAAGAGCAAGAUACCACUGACAACAAUUUCACCAAGCUCUGACGGCAUGGAGCCAACUGGCGAUAAGAAUAAGCUGAAUCCCUUCUUCUCAUUCUCCUUCCAACUCUGUUAUUCCUCUUUGUUAAUAUCUUCUUCUUUUCUCUUCUUCUAGCAACAGACUAUUGACGGCGAUUUCACUAUUUAACCGAACUCCAACGACAUUUAAUCAACUGGCGGAGACCACCGGCAGUGAUUUCAUUGUUUAACCAAGCUCCGACAACGGUUGCCUUCCAAUUUUGGUGGCAUGUCAGCUAGCGGAAGGUUGGUGCCGUCAAGCUCGAAGAAACAAUUGUGCCUCCGAGUUUUCGCAUGCUGUGUUGGCUACGACGAACCCAAACAAUAUUGAAUGGAAAAUGGAAAGAACUUGAUUUCCAUUGAAGGGGUACAAGUGUUUGUUGUUUAUAUGUUCCAUGCAAAGAAGUUGAUGCCCUUGAAGUGAUGGGAACAUAUGGAGAUUUCAUUGGAGCCUUUUAAUUUCGAGCUUCUUACAGUUUCUCUGAUGAAGUUAUUAUCGAGAAAAAUCCAAUUUGCUCCUAUUGGAUUAGUCGACAUGCUUAAUACCAAUGGUGCCAUUCAAUCACUGGAGUAGGAUGACGAGACAAGUUCAAUUCGAAUUGGAGUGAGGGGAACCAGAGAGAUGAGGUUGUUUGCAUAAAAAAAAAAAAAACAAAAAGUUUGUUUAAUUAAUAGUGAAGAGGUGCCAUUUACGUUUGAGGAACACAUAGUUGUGGUUCAAGUUCCAUGGUCUACUUCUGUGUUAUCUAUAAUUGAUUACCACUUUCAGAAUCUGGGAUGGGGAUUGGAUCCACAAAAAAUGGAUUGAUGUUUGAUUUUUAUUGAACUAAAUUUAUGUAAUGUGAAUAGUAGUAAAGUGUGCUCUGUUAUUUAUUGUUUGUCUUGUGUGUUGAACAGUUAACUUAUAUUCAUUUUUCACAAAAUGACCAAC